CUUAGACUUGUGUUUGCUGCUAUACGUACAAAUAUUUUGUAACUUUGGAGCUACACUUUUUUUGUAGCAAUUGUUUUUGUCAACCAGUUGCCAGCUCAGGCAGUUCUCACAGACGAUGGAACCUUUUUCUGAUUCACCAGCUCAAAUUGUGAGAAUUACGUUGUGUUUUUGCAGUGGAAAACUCCAGUAACCUUGCAUAUUCAAAAGUGAUUGUGCAGGCAUAACAGUGGCAUAACAGUGGGGAGUAUGUUAAGCACAUAAGAGGAAGGUCCCACUGUCCCAAAAUAAGGAGGAUAGCUAAGAAAAACAGGAUGAGCAGUGCCAAAUCAGUAAAAACAAAAAUCACGGGCUCUCUAGUCAUGAGAGAAG